rnacentral:tRNA from 1 species
GGGGGUGUAGCUCAGUGGUAGAGUGCAAGCUUAGCGUGCAUGAGGUCCUGGGUUCAAUCCCCAGUACUUCCU